rnacentral:tmRNA from 1 species
GGGGUUGUUUAGUUUCGACAGGUUGUACUUUUCAAAAUAUGCAAGCCGACCAUUGCCGUAAUGUCGCCAAACUUUCGGCAAAGAUAUAAGUGCAAACUUCAUAUCAAAAGCAAAAGCGGUUUUCGCAAGAGGAUUUGCUUUUGCUCCAGCUUUAGCUUAAUUUAACAGCUUUAGCCAUCGGACUGCCGAUUUCUCAUAAGCAAUCUCCGGUGUCAAUCAUGAGGAUAGUUUGAUGCGGUUUUCCGGCUGCAUCAAGUGAAAUUCUUCCGGAAACUGCGCAUGUCGGGUUUUGUUUAUUUCAUACCGCAUGCGCCGAUCUCCGAUUUUUUCGGAGGGAAAUAAAACAAGCUUGUAGAAUAUUUUGGAUUGUCAAUUUUGGACAUGGGUGCGAUUCCCAUCAACUCCACUG